rnacentral:rRNA from 1 species
AACGGACGAGAAGCUUGCUUCUCUGAUGUUAGCGGCGGACGGGUGAGUAACACGUGGAUAACCUACCUAUAAGACUGGGAUAACUUCGGGAAACCGGAGCUAAUACCGGAUAAUAUUUUGAACCGCAUGGUUCAAAAGUGAAAGACGGUCUUGCUGUCACUUAUAGAUGGAUCCGCGCUGCAUCAGCUAGUUGGUAAGGUAACGGCUUACCAAGGCAACGAUGCAUAGCCGACCUGAGAGGGUGAUCGGCCACACUGGAACUGAGACACGGUCCAGACUCCUACGGGAGGCAGCAGUAGGGAAUCUUCCGCAAUGGGCGAAAGCCUGACGGAGCAACGCCGCGUGAGUGAUGAAGGUCUUCGGAUCGUAAAACUCUGUUAUUAGGGAAGAACAUAUGUGUAAGUAACUGUGCACAUCUUGACGGUACCUAAUCAGAAAGCCACGGCUAACUACGUGCCAGCAGCCGCGGUAAUACGUAGGUGGCAAGCGUUAUCCGGAAUUAUUGGGUGUAAAGCGCGCGUAGGCGGUUUUUUAAGUCUGAUGUGAAAGCCCACGGCUCAACCGUGGAGGGUCAUUGGAAACUGGAAAACUUGGGUGCAGAAGAGGAAAGUGGAAUUCCAUGUGUAGCGGUGAAAUGCGCAGAGAUAUGGAGGAACACCAGUGGCGAAGGCGACUUUCUGGUCUGUAACUGACGCUGAUGUGCGAAAGCGUGGGGAUC